UAAAAAUGUGUUGGAUAAUCCAGAACGUUGGAUAAGUGAGACUACUGUAUCUAUUUUAGAUGACAACGGAGUGCGCAUGCGUCGAGCAUCUCCCUGCUUUCCCGCCCAAAUUGGCGAAGCCCUCGCUGAGCCUGUGACGGGCGGGAGAAUCGUCCAAUCGGGCGGCGGCAGAGGGAGGAGGGGUGGGACCAAGGCCGAAAAGGCGGCCGUGGUGGAGGCGGGGCUUCUUCUUGGCGCCUCAGCCGGUAAUUUACCUCAGGAAACGGGGCCUCGUUUGGCGCCCAGGCGUUUCCUUUCCCUCCGAGAGAGAGAGAGAGAGAGAAGGGCGCUUGGCCUGGCAGCCGUGGUUCAGGCCGGGCUGGGAAGGAGGGAAGAGCCGGCCCGGGUCCCCUCAGCCGUGGCUGGAAGGAAGGCCCUGAGGAGACAGGCCGGGAAGGGCGGGCUCUCUCUCUCUCUCUCUCUCUCUCUCCUCCCGCCACCCAGAGCCGGAGAGGUGAAUCAGGGCCCGUGCUGUGGCCUCGCCUGGUUCAGUCUACUUUCUUUGGGAUUAAUCUGGAGUUUAAAGAGGAGACGCCUUUCCUUUUGGGAGUCACUUUUACCUCAGGAAAGGCUUUUCUUCCCGUCCAGAGGACCCUCUCUCUCCCACUUGAUUAAAUUUCUUUAUCGAACCUUUACCUCAGAAAAGCCUUGUGAAAUAGAAAGAAGAAAAUGCCAAUUUUAUUUAUUAAGAGAUGGUUAUCUCAAACUUUACCUCAGAAAUGGCAAAGCCUUGUGAAACGAAAGGGAGAAACAAAGACAAAACUUUUGAAAAUUAGCACAGCUUUUUCUGAAGGGACCAGGUGAAUAUUGUUGCAUUUUAUUUAUUAUAAUCUGAUUUAUUUCUUUCCAAAGACCCUUAUGAAAUUAGC
rnacentral:lncRNA from 11 species